GGGGAUGUAUUGCUUUGACGUAUGGCGCUCAUUAACAUCGGCAGGUCAUCUUUGAUAAAAGAUGUAAAACAGAUCAAAAUAUAACUGCAAAUAAAAUUCGCAGCACAGUUGCAAAGGUGAAAGAAGUCGCUACUCAAGUAGCUUCCUACUUCGCCCCAGCUCCUUCAGCCUACGCUUACGCGUAACUGACAUUUAGCAUUUCACUCUCAUGAGCGGUGUGUGUUAGGUGGGAACCCAGCUCAUGUGACUUGAUGAAGUAUUCGGUUUAUUCAUCACUAAGCACAUAACGACCGAGGUUGUCUCUGUAUGGUUUGGUCAUCUACCGCAGUGACAAUUAACCAAAGAUGUUCUAUACCUGUAGAUGCUGUUAGUGUUCACGUACGGACGGGGGUUCGUUGCCCCCCAUCUCCACAA
rnacentral:tmRNA from 1 species